GAGUUUGAUCCUGGCUCAGGAUGAACGCUGGCGGCGUGCCUAACACAUGCAAGUCGAACGAAGCACCUUUUGAGAUUCUUCGGAUGAUCGAUCGGUGACUGAGUGGCGGACGGGUGAGUAACGCGUGGGUAACCUGCCCUGUACAGGGGGAUAACAGCUGGAAACGGCUGCUAAUACCGCAUAAGCGCACGAGGAGACAUCUCCUUGUGUGAAAAACUCCGGUGGUAUAAGAUGGACCCGCGUUGGAUUAGCUAGUUGGCAGGGCAACGGCCUACCAAGGCAACGAUCCAUAGCCGGCCUGAGAGGGUGAACGGCCACAUUGGGACUGAGACACGGCCCAGACUCCUACGGGAGGCAGCAGUGGGGAAUAUUGCACAAUGGGGGAAACCCUGAUGCAGCGACGCCGCGUGAAGGAAGAAGUAUCUCGGUAUGUAAACUUCUAUCAGCAGGGAAGAUAAUGACGGUACCUGACUAAGAAGCCCCGGCUAACUACGUGCCAGCCGCCGCGGUAAUUC
rnacentral:rRNA from 1 species